GACAGAGGGUGCAAACGUUGUUCGGAAUUACUGGGCGUAAAGCGUGUGUAGGCGGCUCCGCAAGUCGGGUGUGAAAGCCCCGGGCUCAACCUGGGAAUUGCAUUCGAGACUGAAUAGCUAGGGUACGGUAGAGGGAAGUGGAAUUUCCGGUGUAGCGGUGAAAUGCGUAGAUAUCGGAAGGAACAUCAGUGGCGAAAGCGACUUCCUGGACCAGUACCGACGUUCAGGCACGAAAGCGUGGGGAGCAAACAGG
rnacentral:rRNA from 1 species